rnacentral:lncRNA from 1 species
UUUUCCUAGCCGGGGGGUAUUUUCUGGGAACCCUUGGGAGCGACUGUGCUUUGUAAACACUAUUUAAAAUGAGUCAGGCAGGUGCCGCGUCCCCGAGUUGGGUGGGGCCAGGAUGGGCGUGCCAGCCGGCGAAGAGGAAAACAGUUACAAGGAGUUUCUGUUGUUGCGCUGGGGCGUCUUGGACCGGGGAGGUUGCGUAAGAGCACGGAGUUUGUUUAUCUUCGGUGUGAGAGUAAUACAACUGUUUGGCACCAGGGUCGUGCGCAUCCGCGGCUCGUGGACACGGUGUUGUGAAUAACAUCCGUGUAAACCACCCACUGAGACUGCCGGGAAGACGCCUUCUGAGGAUGGGGGCCAGAAAGCACAGCUGUGUUCUGGGUGCAAGUUCUGAGAACCCGCAGACUGCUCCUAGCCUCUGGUUUGCGGUCCAGACCCCCGCCAAGGACCUAGAAUGAAUUGGGUGUGUGGCAACACCCUAGCCUUCUUAAAGAGGGUCUGAAGUUGAUUUGGGGAGAGUUACUAAGUUGGGGAGGGGUCAGGAAAUGUCACGUGAAGUGUGGUUGAAAGAAGUGGAGAUGUUUAACCCAGACAAGGCAGCACUUGGGGACAUGUGACCUGUGUCUGCUAGUAUUGGAGAGACUGUGUAAAUAAGAGGUUAGACUAAUCUCAAGAGGUUAGACAUCUUGUUCUCCCUCUGGACAAAACAGAUUUUUAAAAUUAUUUUACAAGAGGUGAAUUUGAGGUCAGUUAUAAAUACUGAGUAGAAAUGAACACUUGGGAAGUUAGAUCCUGGAGCCAGGUACUGCUAGAUGUUUACAUUUAUUAGCGAGAGAAUAGUGGAGCUGAGAUUUCAUCUGCCAAACUCCAAAGGCUUUGCCUUUCCAGGAUGCAUCUAUUUUAAUAGAAGAAGUUACUUUGUGAAUAAUGAAAUAGCAGAAUGGUUUCUGGAUUGAUGAAUCACACUGUACUGGAGGAUUUGUCUGCCUCUGUUAACCUGUGUGAUGUUUAUCUCAGGUAAAGAGGGAGAUUGUCCUGGGCUAGGGAAAGAUGCCAGGACUGGUUACUUAGAUGGAGGAGGCAUCCAGUCUCACCAGAAAGUCAGACCUUCAUUGGUGGAUAUCUUGUUCUUAUAAGUCCUGUAGCAGUUACUAGAGUAAUCUUGACUUUGAGUUUAACAAAUGUGAUCAUAGUUAUCUCAUUGCCUUCCAUUUAUCUCAUUUCCUCCUAGCCUACUCCUCAGCCCUCACCCUGACAUUUCUUCCCUUUCUCCUCCCCAUCUGCCUUUAUCAGACUAGAAAUGAGACCCAUCUAAGGACUGGAGUGAGUAAAUUUUACCUGACUACAGUGUAGCCUUCAGGUAACACUAUAUGUAGCAACCUGUAAAUUCAGGGAAAAAUGCCCAUGCUGGUUUGAUUCAGCUCUGUGGUCCCCAGGGUAGGGACAUUUAAGACUUAGCCUGUAUGGAUGCAUAAUGGAGAUAACCCUCUAUAAGGGUUUGAAUUUAAUUUGUUUUAUGAAUUAAGAGCUUCAUACUUUGUUUUUUUUUUAAUUUAUUUUUUAAUUAUUUGGUGUGGG